rnacentral:tRNA from 1 species
GGAAGUGGAAAGCUCACUGGUGGGGCUCCCGGACUUCAAAUCCGGUGUGACUUGGCUGAAACCGGGUCAGGUGGGUUCGAUUCCCAUGCACUUCCGCCA